UGCUCUGGUGGUCUAGUGGUUAGAGAGUCUGCCUUGGAUGCGGGAGGUCGUGGGUUUGAUCCCCGAUAGAGUCA